GGAUGUGGCUCAGUGACAGACUGCUUGCCUGGAAAGCAUGAGGACCUGGGUUCAAUCCCUGGCACCA
rnacentral:tRNA from 1 species